AUACGGAGGGGGCUAGCGUUGUUCGGAAUUACUGGGCGUAAAGCGCGCGUAGGCGGACCAGUCAGUCAGGGGUGAAAUCCCGGGGCUCAACCCCGGAACUGCCUUUGAUACUGCUGGUCUUGAGUUCGAGAGAGGUGAGUGGAAUUCCGAGUGUAGAGGUGAAAUUCGUAGAUAUUCGGAGGAACACCAGUGGCGAAGGCGGCUCACUGGCUCGAUACUGACGCUGAGGUGCGAAAGCGUGGGGAGCAAACAGGAUUAGAUACCCUAGUAGUCC
rnacentral:rRNA from 1 species